rnacentral:ncRNA from 1 species
AAAGACUUAGUCCCAACCUUACUGUUGGUUGUUGCUAGACUUAUACAUGCAAGUAUCCGCGCGCCAGUGAGAGAGGCCCUAGGUACCCUAAAUUAGGUCGAUAGGAGCAGGUAUCAGGCACACCAUUACCGUAGCCCAAGACGCCUCGCAAUUGCCACGCCCCCACGGGUAUACAGCAGUAAUCAAUAUUAAGCAAUGAGUGUAAACUUGACUUAGUCAUAGCAAUUUAGGGUCGGUAAAUCCUGUGCCAGCCACCGCGGUCAUACAGGAGACCCAAAUCAACAUUAUAACGGCGUAAAGUGUGGUACUAUGUUAUCCAAGUAACUAAGAUUAAAAAGCAGCUGAGCCGUCAUAAGCCAAAGAUGCCCAUUAAGGCCACUUCCUAAAGAAAAUCUUAGAAUACCGAUCAAUUGAAACCCACGAAAGCCAGGGCCCAAACUGGGAUUAGAUACCCCACUAUGCCUGGCCCUAAAUCUUGAUGCUCGAUCUUACCGGAGCAUCCGCCCGAGAACUACGAGCCCCAACGCUUAAAACUCUAAGGACUUGGCGGUGCUCUAAACCCACCUAGAGGAGCCUGUUCUGUAAUCGAUGAUCCACGUUAUACCUGACCAUUCCUUGCCAAAUCAGCCUAUAUACCGCCGUCGCCAGCCCACCCACCAUGAAGGCCCCAACAGUGGACGCAAUAGCCCAGUUACGCUAAUACGACAGGUCAAGGUAUAGCCUAUGGAAUGGAAGCAAUGGGCUACAUUUUCUAGAUUAGAACACACGGCAAAGGGAUCUGAAACGGCCCCUGGAAGGCGGAUUUAGCAGUAAAGAGAGAUAAUCGAGCUCUCUUUAAGCCGGCUCUGGAGCGCGUACAUACCGCCCGUCACCCUCCUCAAAAGCGACCAAAACCCCCCCCAUAAAUUAAUAAGUUUUUCAGCCGAAGAUGAGGUAAGUCGUAACAAGGUAAGUGUACCGGAAGGUGUACUUAGGAUAC